rnacentral:rRNA from 1 species
CAGUAGCCGCGGGAAUACGUAGGGCGCAAGCGUUAUCCGGAAUUAUUGGGCGUAAAGAGCUCGUAGGCGGUUUGUCGCGUCUGCCGUGAAAGUCCGGGGCUCAACCCCGGAUCUGCGGUGGGUACGGGCAGACUAGAGUGAUGUAGGGGAGACUGGAAUUACUGGUGUAGCGGUGAAAUGCGCAGAUAUCAGGAGGAACACCGAUGGCGAAGGCAGGUCUCUGGGCAUUAACUGACGCUGAGGAGCGAAAGCGUGGGGAGCGAACAGGAUUAGAUACCCCCGUAGUCCCUGUCUCUUAUAC